rnacentral:rRNA from 1 species
UAUGCAUUGCAUAGACUGUUUUUUAGCCUAAAUAGCUAUUAGAGUAAGGGGUGGGUAAGACCGGUGCCAGCCGCCGCGUAACCACCGGCACCCCGAGUGGUAGCCACUAUAAUGGGGCUUAAAGCGUUCGUAGCCGGUUUGUAAAUUUCUUGGGUAAAUCGUACCGCUUAACGGUGCGGAUUCCGGGGACACUACCAGACUUGAGACCGGGGGAGAUCAGAGGUACUUGCGGGGGAGCGGUGAAAUGUUGUAAUCCCGCAGGGACCACCAGUGGCGAAGGCGUCUGAUCAGAACGGCUCUGACGGUGAGGAACGAAACCCUGGGGCGCAAACGGGAUUAGAUACCCCGGUAGUCCAGGGCGUAAACGCUGCUGACUUGGUGUUGGGGAUCCUACGAGGAUGUCCAGUGCUGGCGCGAAGGUAUUAAGUCAGCCGCCUGGGGAGUACGGUCGCAAGACUGAAACUUAGAGGAAUUGGCGGGGGAGCACUGCAACGUGUGGAGCGUGCGGUUUAAUUGGAUUCAACGCCGGAAAACUCACCGGGGGCGACGGUUACAUGAAGGCCAAGCUGAUGACUUUGCCUGAUUUUCCGAGAGGUGGUGCAUGGCCGCCGUCAGUUCGUACCGUAAGGCGUUCUGUUAAGUCAGAUAACGAACGAGACCUCCGUCACCAUUUGCUAUUCUUCUCUCCGGAGAGGGAGCACUAUGGUGGUACCGCCAUUGUUAAAAUGGAGGAAGGAGGGGGCAACGGUAGGUCAGUAUGCCCCGAAUCUCCCGGGCUACACGCGCGCUACAAAGGGCAGGACAAUGGGCUUCGACACCGAAAGGUGGAGGCAAUCCCGAAACCUGCUCGUAAUUCGGAUUGAGGGCUGCAAUUCGCCCUCAUGAAGCUGGAAUACGUAGUAAUCGCGGGUCAACAUCCCGCGGUGAAUAUGCCCCUGCUCCUUGCACACACCGCCCGUCAAACCACCUUAGUUGGGUCUGGACGAGGGUUGUCUUCUGACACGCUCG